CUCCCACAUUCGGUCUUUUCCUCUGUCAAAGGUCGAUAUGUCGUCUGUUGCCGACAGAACCGACGCAUUGGGUGAGAGAUGAGAGGCGCCGCCGGAUAAUCCUCACCUCCUCACUCUAUAUAAAGAUAAAUGUAGAUAUAUAUAUUUAUACUUGGCGUAGGUACAGACGUAAACAUUAUUAGUAAGAGAUCGGACUGGCAAAUAACAUUCGUCUGGUACGUCUGCUGCUGUGUUCACUGGAAAAGGUCCUGUCAAGCCUUUCAAUAAAAGUCCGGCUGGUCCCAGGGAAGAAGGAAAAGAGAAGAGAAAAACAGGAGCAAAAAACCCCAGAAAAUCAACAACACUUUCGCCGUGAAUUGGGAAUUUCUAUUAUGCAGUCUCACUAGCCAGGUGUAUAUAUUUAUACACACAUACACGCGCGUAUACAUACACACACACACACACACAGUAUAUAUAUAUAUGUGUGUGUGUGUGUGUGUGUUUUGCGGUUAGUCAUUCAGCUUGACGAACAGAAUUGUUUCCAUUGACAGAAAUCAACGGAAUUUAAUCAAACCAAAUCAAAGCAAAUCAUCGUAAUCUGACGAAAAUUCAAUCAAAAAUCCUACGAAAGCCACCCGAAGUGACGACCGACAAUUACUAUAGUCUUCCAUUAAGAAGAUUAUAAAGAGAGAGAGAGAGAGAGAGAAAGAAAGAAAGAGAGAGAGAGAAAGAAAGAGAGGAGGACGAGAGAGAGAGAAAGGGGAGGACGAGAGAGACAGAGGCAGAGAGAGGGGAGAGAAGCGCGCGCGCGUGUGUGUGUGUGUAUGAAGUUUGCGUCAAAAGGGAAAGAGAAAAUAAUGGGGAGUCGCGAUGGAAACAUUUCUGCCCAAUUCUUCGCAACCGGUCUCGACAUUUCUGCCUUGGCAGACUAUCUUUGGCAGGCAAUAGAGUAUUUCCAGGAGUAUCCAUCUCUGCCUAUUCUCUGUGUAUUCGGAGCCACAUACCUCGCCUACUACCUGCUCUAUGUCGGAAAGAAACCCCAGCUGGUUUGUGGAGAUGAAAAACUUUUAAAAUUCAUUACAAAACACUGCCCAAUUUUACACGAAAAGUUCUGGCCAACAUUUUGGUGUUUUGAAGCAAGAGCACAAACAAUCGUUCGGACAAUUUUAAAAUCUUCUCCUCAUAUUCCUUACCAAAGUGAAAUCUUAAAAACCCGUGAUGGUGGUCGCAUUCAAAUAGAUUGGUUAGAAAAUCAAAAUCCAGACCAUCCUGACCCAGCAAAGCGUCCUACAGUUAUACUUUUACCUGGAUUAACAGGAAAUAGUCGAGAAACUUAUGCACUUCAUAUAGUACAACAAUCAUCUAUUUUAGGAUAUAGGUCAGUUGUAUUUAAUUAUAGAGGAACGAGUGCAAAUGAAGAUAAGCUUUUAACACCAAGAACAUAUUGUGCCACUGAUACAGAAGACUUAGAGACUGUUGUAAAUCAUGUGAAAAAUUGUUACCCAGAAGCACCAUUAUUUGGGGUAGGAAUCUCCCUUGGUGGGAUGAUAAUGACUGGUUAUUUAGCAAAAUGUGGUGAAAAUGCUGUCUUCCAAGCUGCUAUGGCUGUAUCAGCUGCCUGGGAUUCUUUUGAAUCUUCAAAAACUCUAGAACAACCAAUUAAUUAUCUCCUUUUCAACAAAUACUUGGCCAGGAAUCUUGUUAAUUUGGUCCAUAAGAACAGAGUUAUUGAGCAUCAUUUUGAUAUGGACUACGUAAUGAAGAGCCAGACUAUAAAAGAAUUUGAUGACAGAUUCACUGCUAAACUCUUUGGUUAUGGUACUUGGGAAAAAUAUUAUCGAGACGCCUGCCUCAAUGACAAGCUUCAUCUCAUUAAGAUACCACUACUCUGUCUAAAUGCCGCUGAUGAUCCUUUUUCUCCAUAUCAUGCAAUUCCAGUUGCGCAGGCGAAAGAAAAUAAAAACGUUGCCUUCGUCAUAACUUCCCAUGGUGGUCAUAUUGGAUUUAUGGAAGGCAUCUUUCCACGCCAUGCAAACUACAUGGACCGCCUUUUCGUCCAGUUUGCUGAUGCUGUCUUUAAACAUGCACACACGGAAUUAAAAACUGAUUAAGGAGAUUCUAAUGAACAUUUCUCCCACUCACACACACUUUUACAUCCAUAAACAUUAUACAACUUGAAUUUAAUGGAACAAAAAUUAUUUCAUUUUCCAAAUAAUUUUCUUUUCAUGAGUUAAUAUCAUUUUUCUCAAUUUGAGUGGGGAGCUUAUUUAAAAAGUAAUAGUUUUAAUUUUAGACUUGAAGGUUUUAAGUGAAAUUAUAAUUAAUGUGAUUUAAUUAACCGAUCAACAUUUUCUGUAUAAGUUUAUAUUCUUUUACAGCUAUAUUUGUAACUUAAUUAAAUUAUUAGUAACUUUAGUGAUAUAAACUAGCUAAGCUCUCCAGUCAAUGUGUGUAUGUGUGUGUGGGACUAAUAGCUAAACGUAGGGGAUUCCAGAGUAUGGUAGGGUCCCAUUCUUGUUUGUCUGUUUACUUAAUUUUAGUGGAACUAAUAUAAAAGAUAUUUAUAUUUUUGAGAGACAAUAUGUCCAGUCUCUUUAGCAGACGUUGUUGUUGUUAACUAUUAAUAUAGAUUUAUUAAUUUACAAAUUUACAUUGAUUAAUGUGUAAAUAAUUACAGUGGAGUUGUAAUUGUUAUAGCAACGACAACGACAGUAAUAGCAAUAACAAUACAUACAUUAAUUAUUUGGUUAUAAUGAAUUUGUGUGAUUUUGUUCAGUUAUCAUUUUAUUCAUUAUGUUUGUCAUUCAUCAGAUGGGACAUCACCAACCCAUUGCCAGAAUUAGCUGUGAUAAAUAUUUGUUGUGGUUUUCAGCUUCUACAUGCUUGCUCUGACUGCUAGAAAUAGCAGCUAAAAUCUCCUUCAAAUCACACCCAAAUGUCUUAAAAAUAAUAGAAAUGACAUGGGUAGUGUAGUCAUAGAUUAUUUAAAGACAGGAUAGUCAUGGCUGGAAGGCCUUUGGUCAUAGGUCUGCUCAAUCAGGGUAGACUUUGGAGCUAAACAACUGCAACAACAACAAAAGCUUCUCGUGAUUUCUUUGAGAUUUAUCCGUGAGAAAAGACAUAUUUUUGUCACUGAUAAGAUGGUCUCUGCAGAAAGGAUCUCUGCUACUGAAUUGUACACAUUCCAACAAACUCUUUCCUGUCAGUGGAACUGGUUGUGUGUGUUUGUGUGUGUGUGAGAGGGGGGGGAGGUGAAAAGAGAAACUUGUUUUAAUGCAGUCAUCGUUUAAGGAAUAUUUUAUACAUAAUGUAUCUAAUGUAUAUAGAAGACAAUAUUUAUUUUCAUCAAAUGCUAAAUUUGUUUUCCCAUUACUACUAAGGCAUUAAUCUUGCUGGUCAGAGAGGGCUUGUGAAGGCCAAAGAUAUUGUGGACAGGUUGAUAUCUGCAUGACUUGUCAGCCAGAACAAGAGUUCUUUAGUCCAACAUAAAUGUCAACCAGUCAAUAAUGAAAUUGAAGAGGUACCUGUAUUAUCAGCUCAGCUAAUUGGGGCACAUGACAUAAUGCAAAACCUUAAACAAAGUACUUUAUUUGGUUAAUUCAGAGAAAGGUAAAAUAAGGGGUUGUUGGUGUGUUGCAGUGCAAAAAGGAGAAUCAAGACAUGCUGUGUGUUACAACAUCACCCCAAUGACUCUGCUAAGGGAUGAGGGUUCAAGGCAAGAAUUAAAAGUGGUUGUAAUCUUUGGGGGAUAAAUAGUAUUCACUGAAAAUUUGAGGUACUUAAUGGUUAUCUGUAGUAUCUGAUAGAGGGGUCAGUUUGACAAUAGUGAUGAUGAACUGUAGUUGUAGAUAUUAGGACACUAUGGUAGUCUGUAUUGGUAGGGGCCAGUUUAAGAAUAUAGUAGUAGUAGUAGUUUGUAUUAACAGGGCCCAGUUUGGAGUGACUAGUGACAAUAUGUAUUGUCAGGAACAAUAUUUGUGGUCUCUAUUAGCAGGGGUCACUUUAAGAACAGCAAUGAGGGUUUGUAUAGGUAAGGAUCAGUUUCUCAUAACUUGUAGGGAUGUGUUUUGUCAGUGGUCAGUUUGAAGUGUCUAACAGUGAUCUGUAUUGUUUGGCAAAGGUCAUUUUAAAGAUGCUGGAGGUUAUCUAUAUUAGCAGGGAUCAAUUUGACCAUUGUUGGUGGUUUAUUUAGGCAAGGGUCAUUUAAAGGGCCCCAAAUGGGUUUACUUUGGUAAGAAUUAGUUCAAUAAAAUAUUUUGGCCAGUAUCUAGACUGUAAUGAUUAUCCUCCAAUCACAGAAAUUAACUUUUCAAUAAUUAACAUAACAGUGGGUGCAAGCACAGUUUGUUAUAUGACAAAUAAAACUGGUGUUAUGUUCUAUGAAACGAAGGUUUGGUGAUGCCAAACAAGAGAAACAAAAGUUAGACAUUUUAGAUAUUUGUUUUCAUGACACAGACAAGCUAAUUUUUGUAUCCUUACUGGAUUUUUUGUAGACAACCCUGUCACUCUCCCAGAAUUUGUGAAAUUGUAUUUGGGUUGGUGAAGAAUCUAGUUUAAAAUAACUAUUUGUUGCCUGUGUGGUUCCUAUUAAAUACUAUGUGUAGUUGGUUAUAAGUCAACUAUUCAAAACCUAUUUACAAACAUCUAAAUUUACAAGACUAAAAAGAAUACACUAAUAUUUAAAAGUUAUUUUUUAUAAAAACACUAAAUCCUGUCUUCUUAGCUUAUUUAAAUUUUGUAUGAUUCUGGGAACACAAGGGUUGGGUUUUAGAAUUCUUUUAUGGUUUGUUUUUUGAUUCCAGAAUUCCUUGUAAGUUCUCUCAGUCUGGUGCGAGAAUGUUGAAGAAACUUUAGAAAUCUAGAAGAAUAUUAACGAAUAAAAUUUCUGUCUCAUGGAGAAACUGAAUCACUGCUGAACAUUUGGUUCUAUAAUAACUGAGCUAACCAGAUGAUUGUUGGGUAGAAUUGGACUCUGUGUUGGAAUAUUGGGAGCUUGAUUAAAAUUUAAUGAAAGUUGGUUAAGUGAAAUGCUGCAGAGAUUAGUGUUGUCAUUAGGGCUUAAAACUCUUUGUAGAUUGUCCUUAAUUUUAAAGUUAAUUAAUUGAUAAAUAGAAAGUUGCUGUAUAAAGAUGAGGACUUACGCAUUUCAUAGAGUUCUGAUCACAGUUUAUUUUUGUUUAAAUAGAUUAAUGCACAGAUAUUUCAGAUGUACAGAUGUGUUUGUGUGUGUGUGUGUGUGUGUGUGUGU